GAUGAAGAACGCAGCGAAAUGCGAUAAGUAAUGCGAAUUGCAGAAUUCAGUGAAUCAUCGAAUCUUUGAACGCACAUUGCGCCCGCCAGUAUUCUGGCGGGCAUGCCUGUUCGAGCGUCAUUUCAACCAUCAAGCCCCCGGCUUGUGUUGGGGACCUGCGGCUGCCGCAGGCCCUGAAAUGCAGUGGCGGGCUCGCUGUCACUCCGAGCGUAGUAGUUACAUCUCGCUCUGGGCGUGCUGCGGGUUCCGGCCGUUAAAAGCCUUAUUUACCCAAGGUUGACCUCGGAUCAGGUAGGAAGACCCGCUGAACUUAAGCAUAUCAAUAAGCGGAGGA
rnacentral:misc_RNA from 1 species